AACGAACGCUGGCGGCGUGGAUAAGACAUGCAAGUCGAGCGAGAUUUUUUCUUGUAGCAAUACGAGGAAAAGUCUAGCGGCGAACGGGUGCUUAACACGUGGGCAACCUGCCAAGAAGUGGGGGAUAGCUCGCCGAAAGGCGAAUUAAUACAGCAUGUGAUCAGAGUGGACAUCCAUUCAAAAUUAAAGUCGGGGCAACCUGACGCUUCUUGAGGGGCCCGCGGCCUAUCAGCUAGUUGGUGAGGUAACGGCCCACCAAGGCUUUGACGGGUGGCGGGUCUGAGAGGACGACCAGCCACACUGGGACUGAGACACGGCCCAGACACCUACGGGUGGCAGCAGUCGAGAAUUUUUCUCAAUGGGGGAAACCCUGAAGGAGCGACGCCGCGUGGAGGAUGAAGGUCUUCGGAUUGUAAACUCCUGUCAUUGGGGAACAAUGCGUAAAUAUUAACUGUAUUUGCGUUGAUAGUACCCGAAGAGGAAGAGACGGCUAACUCUGUGCCAGCAGCCGCGUAA
rnacentral:rRNA from 1 species